GAUGAACGCUAGCGGCAGGCCUAAUACAUGCAAGUCGAACGGGUGGUCGCAAGACCACUAGUGGCGCACGGGUGCGUAACGCGUAACCAACCUGCCCCGAUCUGGGGGAUAGCCCGCCGAAAGGCGGAUUAAUACCGCAUAUACCCGCAGCCUGGCAUCAGGCAACGGGGAAAGAUUUAUUGGAUCGGGAUGGGGUUGCGUGACAUUAGCUAGUUGGCGGGGUAAGGGCCCACCAAGGCGACGAUGUCUAGGGGACCUGAGAGGGUGAUCCCCCACACUGGCACUGAGAUACGGGCCAGACUCCUACGGGAGGCAGCAGUAGGGAAUAUUGGGCAAUGGGCGAGAGCCUGACCCAGCCAUGCCGCGUGCCGGAUGAAGGCCUUCUGGGUUGUAAACGGCUUUUCUCAGGGAAGAAAAAGACCUUGCGAGGUACACUGACGGUACCUGAGGAAGAAGCACCGGCUAACUCCGU
rnacentral:rRNA from 1 species